rnacentral:rRNA from 1 species
GGCGGCGUGCUUAACACAUGCAAGUCGAACGAUGAAGCCCAGCUUGCUGGGUGGAUUAGUGGCGAACGGGUGAGUAACACGUGAGUAACCUGCCCUUAACUCUGGGAUAAGCCUGGGAAACUGGGUCUAAUACCGGAUAGGAGCGCCUACCGCAUGGUGGGUGUUGGAAAGAUUUAUCGGUUUUGGAUGGACUCGCGGCCUAUCAGCUUGUUGGUGAGGUAAUGGCUCACCAAGGCGACGACGGGUAGCCGGCCUGAGAGGGUGACCGGCCACACUGGGACUGAGACACGGCCCAGACUCCUACGGGAGGCAGCAGUGGGGAAUAUUGCACAAUGGGCGCAAGCCUGAUGCAGCGACGCCGCGUGAGGGAUGACGGCCUUCGGGUUGUAAACCUCUUUCAGUAGGGAAGAAGCGAAAGUGACGGUACCUGCAGAAGAAGCACCGGCUAACUACGUGCCAGCAGCCGCGGUAAUACGUAGGGUGCGAGCGUUAUCCGGAAUUAUUGGGCGUAAAGAGCUCGUAGGCGGUUUGUCGCGUCUGUCGUGAAAGUCCGGGGCUUAACCCCGGAUCUGCGGUGGGUACGGGCAGACUAGAGUGCAGUAGGGGAGACUGGAAUUCCUGGUGUAGCGGUGGAAUGCGCAGAUAUCAGGAGGAACACCGAUGGCGAAGGCAGGUCUCUGGGCUGUAACUGACGCUGAGGAGCGAAAGCAUGGGGAGCGAACAGGAUUAGAUACCCUGGUAGUCCAUGCCGUAAACGUUGGGCACUAGGUGUGGGGACCAUUCCACGGUUUCCGCGCCGCAGCUAACGCAUUAA